rnacentral:rRNA from 1 species
AGUAUCAUUGUCAAAACCUGCACCUUGCAGAUCGACCCGCGAAUAAGUUCUUACGUUUUGGUGGGGCGAGGAUGGCUCGCAACCGACCGUGUUGCCCCACGCCGAAGCCCCGUCUCGUCGGUGCGCGCGGUGCGCGCACUCGUGCGCGUCGCACGGCCUAACGAACCCCGGCGCGAAAAGCGUCAAGGAACACUCAAAACGCCGCCCGCCCUCGGUGCCCCGUUCGCGGCGUGCACCCGGGGGAUCGGACGCGUGUCGAAUUUAAAACGACUCUCGGCAACGGAUAUCUUGGCUCUCGCAUCGAUGAAGAACGCAGCAAAAUGCGAUACUUGGUGUGAAUUGCAGAAUCCCGUGAACCAUCGAGUUUUUGAACGCAAGUUGCGCCCGAAGCCAUUAUGCCGAGGGCACGUCUGCCUGGGCGUCACGCACAUCGUCGCCCUCCGCCUCGGCCCGUAAAGGGAUCGCGGGUGUUGGGUCGGAUAUUGGCCCCCCGUGCGCUUCGGCGCGCGGUCGGCCCAAAUGUGAUUCGGCAUCGACGCGUGCCGCGACGAUUGGUGGUUGAAGAACUCAACUCGCGCGUUGUCGCGGCGUCGUUCGGCUCGAACGUGUUGACCCCGACGGUGCAUCGCACCUCGACAGCGACCCCAGGUCAGGCGGGAUUACCCGCUGAG